rnacentral:rRNA from 1 species
CCUACGGGGGGCUGCAGUAGGGAAUAUUGGGCAAUGGACGCAAGUCUGACCCAGCCACGCCGCGUGAAGGAUGACUGCCCUAUGGGUUGUAAACUUCUUUUGUAUGGGAAGAAACCUCCGAACGUGUUCGGAGCUGACGGUACCAUAAGACUAAGCAUCGGCUAACUCCGUGCCAGCAGCCGCGGUAAUACGGAGGAUGCCGGCGUUGUUCGGAUUCAUUGGGGUGUAAGGGUAGGAUUACGGCAGUGGAGAAAGCUCGCAGAUUAACUGUGAAAAUGCCAUUGAAACUGAUUUUCUUGAGUUCGAUUGAGGUAGAUGGAAUGUAUCAUGUAGCGGUGAAAUGCUUAGAUAUGAUACAGAACACCAAUUGCGAAGGCAGUCUACUAAGUCGAUACUGACGCUGAGGCACGAAAGCAUGGGGAGCAAACAGGAUUAGAUACCCCAGUAGUC